rnacentral:rRNA from 1 species
UCCAGACUCCUACGGGAGGCAGCAGUGAGGAAUAUUGGUCAAUGGCCGGGAGGCUGAACCAGCCAAGUCGCGUGAGGGAAGACGGCCCUACGGGUUGUAAACCUCUUUUGUCAGGGAGCAAGGUGCAGGUCGGGACCUGCUGUGAGAGUACCUGAAGAAAAAGCAUCGGCUAACUCCGUGCCAGCAGCCGCGGUAAUACGGAGGAUGCGAGCGUUAUCCGGAUUUAUUGGGUUUAAAGGGUGCGCAGGCGGAGGCACAAGUCAGCGUUAAAACCGCGGGGCUCAACCCCGCUCCGCCGUUGAAACUGGCAGUCUCGAGUUGGAGAGAAGUAUGCGGAAUGCGCGGUGUAGCGGUGAAAUGCAUAGAUAUCGCGCAGAACUCCGAUUGCGAAGGCAGCAUGCCGGCUCCACACUGACGCUGAGGCACGAAAGCGUGGGUAUCGAACAGGAUUAGAUACCCUAGUAAA